UACGUAGGGUGCGAGCGUUUGUCCGGAAUUACUGGGCGUAAAGAGCUCGUAGGUGGUUUGUCGCGUUGUUCGUGAAAACUCACAGCUCAACUGUGGGCGUGCGGGCGAUACGGGCAGACUGGAGUACUGCAGGGGGAGACUGGAAUUCCUGGUGUAGCGGUGGAAUGCGCAGAUAUCAGGAGGAACACCGGUGGCGAAGGCGGGUCUCUGGACAGUUCCUGACGCUGAGGCACGAAGGCCGGGGAGCAAACGGG
rnacentral:rRNA from 1 species